rnacentral:lncRNA from 1 species
CUUAGGACUACUCUGUGGGUCAGGAAUUCAGGAAGGCUUCAUUGGGUGAUUUGUCUUUGACCUAUGUGGUAAUAACUGGGAUGGCUGGGGCCAGAGGAUCCGCUUAGAAGAUAGCUUCUUCACUCAUACCCAUAGCCCCUCAGUGUUCUGUGGCCUCUCUCUCUUUACCUGGCAUCCUUAGGUUGCCUGCAGGUGGCUUGAGUUUCUCUCAGUGUGGUGGUUUCAGGGCAGUCAAUUUGCUUACAUGGAAGCUGACUUUCUCAGUGGGACCAUUUCAAGAGUGAUUGUUCUAAGAGAUCAAGGCAGAAGUUUCAAGGCUUUAUAUGAACUGGCUUCAGAAAUCACAUAGUAUCAUUUCUGGUACACUCUGUUGGUUACACAGGGUCAACUCAAAUUCACUAUGGGAAGGGAUGACAAAAGGAAGAGAGUACAGGGAGGCAUGGUUCAUUGGAAGUUAUUUUGGAGAUCAGCUAUCAUAGCAAUUGAUUGCCCACGAUUUUCUGUUUUUUGUUUUUUUUCCUUAAAUCUCCUGACCUACUGAAAUUUGCCAGGUUAAAAUCUCAGAGCUUACUGACCCUGGGAAAUGCUAUCCAAAGAGAUCAUGUAGAGCUGGUAUCAGAGGAUUUUUCAAGGUUAUUUUAGGAGCUGGUGCAUCCUGACAUUCAAAGAAUACACACAUUUCUUUUCACUAAGUUCUCAUAUAAAUGCCAUGACAGGCAGUGAGAUAGACUUAGAGUAUUCCUGGCCUCAGGAGGUGGGACUUCCAUGAGGAACUGCUAUCUUAACCUCUAUCCUGUUCACUGCCUCUCCACAAAGGAGAAAGGGUCUAAGAUUUUAAAUAUGUGCCAGGCACACACUUAGCACAUACAUACAUGUUAGUGGUGAAUCCUCCCAAAGACCGGUGAGAUAGACUGUAUUAUACUCAUUUCAUAAUUGAAGAACCUCUGGUUCUGCUAAGCCACUAGCCUGAUGUCACACAGCAGGUAAGUGGCAACCCUGAGCUUUAAACCUAAAUCUUCUGGUUUUAAAGCACAUUGUUCUUCUACAGCACAAGAAACUGAACUGAUGUAGCAUUAUUCUGUACUUUAUUAAGGUUCAAAUUUCACUGAGCAUAUAACUGUAUACUAACUACUGUCGAAAUAUAUUUUGAAUUAGAAAUGUACAUACCUGUAAGUCUCAAAAAAAUUCUAUCAGCUUUGGCCUGGGCUCUCCAGAGUGCUCUUGGAGAUGUGCAACACUUUCCAAUUAGCAUUCUCUUUGGCCUGAUGGAUGAGGAGAAUGGGGAUGGUCAGCUAUCUCUUUUAUCCAAAUAUGAGGUCCCCAGUGUUAGAGGUCUCACUCUGGCUUUCAGUGGGGCAAAUGUUCAUGAGCACACUACCGUUGAGCAUGGCUUGCUUAGUGAGCCCAUAGGAAAUCAGGAAAUUCACAAUGAUAAAGAAUGAUGGAAUAACUGAGAUGCAUGGUAUUUUUCUUAGACCUCUUAAGAGACUGGCAACAAAUUGGGGCUUGAUGGAAAUUAAUUUACAUGAGUCAAGAAAAACCAGAGGACAGGUAGUAGGAUUGAUAAUGUCAAAGUAGGAGGAGAAGAGGAAGAAUCAUAUAUUAAAGGAGAGGUGAGAAAUGGCCAUACAUUGCAAUUGGCUCAAGGCAGAGAAAAGUUAAUUCUACACUUUAUAAUAGCACUACCAAUUAUUCACUGUCGGUACUAAGAAAUAUUUGUCAGCUCUCAACUUGUAAGUGGAGAUAAAUCUUACAUGUUCAGUUGUGUCAGGUUAUCAUCUGGUCUACACUAAUUGAAUUUGUAAUAGACCAGCCUGAGUCCUGACUCUCCACAAAGCUUCUCCUGACUACUCCCUCACGUGCUGAUUCAUGAACUUACGUCGUUACCCUACGGAGCUUUAUCUGAUUAAUUCACUAGAUUAUGAGUCUUGAGGCAACAGUUCUUUCACUAUACUUUUCCACCUCCCUACCCUUGCUCAACAUGUACACAUACACACUCACAUGCUCAUACACACACACUCACACACACAUUCACACUCACACAAUAUACUCACACACUCACACACCACACACUCACAGGCACAUACCCUUUUCUUCCAGCACAGGCCUAAAUCCUUAGGAAGCACAUAAUAAACACUGGAUGAAAGAACUGGGUUCCACACACUCAAAAACAUUUAAUGCAGAACAAUGCAUAGCCGUUAACUAAUUCAUCGAUGAUGCCAGUCUAAUUUCAGGUGUUAUUGCUAGGCCUGUUAAGCUUGGCCAGUUAGCUAUCAGCUCUGUUGAUGUUUGUAGCUUCUCUUAGAUGAACAUUUCCCAGAGUGAUUGCUCCGGAAUGUUACUUUGGAAUGUUCACACAUUAUAUGCAGUGUUGGGAGAUCUACAGUUCAUACUAGUAUAUUAAAUGCCCUGAGAAGACCUGCAGGAAAGGAAGCCAUUGUCUGAGUGAACAUUUUCCAAAUUAAUUUAUUUGACCAUAGGUUAUCUCUUAAGACAGCAGCACCUAUUUAUUUUCCAGGAAAGUAGUGUUUCCUGAAAUACAUUUCAGGAAAUCAUGGCCCACAAACCCCUGCUUUGAUUCUUUAUCUUCCUUGUUCUUGUGCUUGGUACUAUCUACCUCCCUGUGCCUCAGGCCCAGGGCUUACCUUCUUGCUUCUGAGUGGAUAGAAGCUCUGAGAACCUACAGAAAGAUGCCCCUUUAGGCUAACUUAGCAUUGUUUCAGGCUAGGAGGGGCCCCAGAAAUACCAUGUCCAAUCUUUCAUUUCAGAAACGAGGACAUAGAUGCAGAUGAGGAGAAGUCCAUUGAACACACUCAAGUUAGAACUGCAACUAAAACCCAGGCCUCUAAGUUCCAAAGAAAGAACAUUUCUCCCCUUCUAUUUUUCCUCCAUUCAUAGCGAAGCAGUUUCCUAGAGAGCCAGCAUUUGGGCCCUGCUGGCUUCAUUGAAAGUAGGCAGGCUCAAAAGCUGGAUAUAAUUAGUGAUUUUGAGGAGUUCAAUGCAUGUCCUGGAAAUGGAGAAGAUUGGCAACUGGAGCCCAUACUUUGGCAGAGGCUGAAUGCUGCUUCUAAAACUCCUGGAACAAUAUAGUGCAUUAGCUGGUCCGCCUCCACCUUGAAAUAAAGGCUUCUGGCUCCCAUGGGCUGGGCAAGGCAGAAAGGGAACAACUUGAUUUUCAAAUAAAGACCUUCUUUGAAAAAUUUCCCAGGGGACAUGAUUUGUGGGAUCAUAGCCCAGUGCACUUCUUCCACCAGACACCCUGGUUUUGGAAUAAGGGCACUGAGGCCUAGAGAGGCUUAUAUUAUUGAGGGUUAGGAAUACAUUUUGAGUUUUUUUUUGCUGUCAGGCUCUGUCCAAGUGGUGGGAGACAUGAUCCUUAGUAGCUCCUGGCUUAUGUGAGCCUUAAAGUUGGAAUCUCAGAGAAAUGCAAGUGCCUUUUCUCUAAUAGUAUGAGCAAAAAUCCAGUGGAGGACUCUGAGCAGGUUUGCAUCAUAUGACACCCCAGGAGGGGGUCUAGGUGUUAUUUGGACAGGGUGAGCAUAAGCAUUUAGCUGUACCAGGACCAUGUAAAAUAGAUUCCCCACAGAAGGAUUUUAUUACUAGAAGACACAAUGAAAGGGGAGCAUACUUGCAGGAAAAACUGUAUCUACCAUGGUUCAUUAUGUUGAAGGACAUAGCGUAUCUCUAAUAUUUGAAAAAAGAAAAGUAACUUGCCACUGCAUCUCUACCACAAAUAUGUCCACAUGUGCAAUGCAUGUGCAUACAUACAUACUGCUUCUAUUAAUUUUCCUGUCAACCAAGAAACAUGCUGUGAUGGUUAAUUUUAUGUGUCAAUUUGACUGAGCUGAAGGAUGCCCUGAUAGCUUGUAAAACUAUCUCUGUGUGUGUCUGCGACAGUGUUUCCAGAAGAGAUUAGCAUUAGAAUUGGUGACUUGAAUAGAGAGUCCUCUCUAAUAUGGGCAGGCCUCAUCCAAUCAGUUGAAACCUACAUAGGACAAAAGGUAGAGGAAGGGUGAAUUUGGUUUCUCUGUUUGAGCUGGGAUAUCCUUUUUCUGACUUCAAAUAUUGAAGCCCCUGGCAAAAAGGAACUCUACUUUUAUAGAGUCAAUGUCUUGUGGAACCUGAAAAUUCAGAUUUUUAUACAAAAUGGGAACAGAACCAAUAAGAUAUAGAUAGAGGAUUCAGUGUAUCACAUGAGCCAUUCUGCCUAAUAUUGUGUCAUUGGAAAAUAUGGUAAAAAUGUCUUCUAUUUUCAUUCAUGUCAUUUAUAAAGGCGUUGGGUGGAAUAGGU